rnacentral:rRNA from 1 species
UACGGGGGGGGCAAGCGUUGUUCGGAAUUACUGGGCGUAAAGGGCGCGUAGGCGGCCUUCUAAGUCGGACGUGAAAUCCCUCGGCUUAACCGAGGAACUGCGUCCGAUACUGAAAGGCUUGAAUCCGGGAGAGGGAUGUGGAAUUCCAGGUGUAGCGGUGAAAUGCGUAGAUAUCUGGAGGAACACCGGUGGCGAAGGCGGCAUCCUGGACCGGUAUUGACGCUGAGGCGCGAAAGCGAGGGGAGCAAACGGG